GACGAACGCUGGCGGCGUGCUUAACACAUGCAAGUCGAGCGGUAAGGCCCUUUCGGGGGUACACGAGCGGCGAACGGGUGAGUAACACGUGGGUGACCUGCCCUUAGCUCUGGGAUAAGCCUGGGAAACUGGGUCUAAUACCGGAUAUGACUCCAUGACGCAUGUUGUGGGGUGGAAAGCCUUGUGCGGCUAGGGAUGGGCCCGCGGCCUAUCAGCUUGUUGGUGGGGUGANGGCCUACCAAGGCGACGACGGGUAGCCGGCCUGAGAGGGCGACCGGCCACACUGGGACUGAGACACGGCCCAGACUCCUACGGGAGGCAGCAGUGGGGAAUCUUGCGCAAUGGGCGAAAGCCUGACGCAGCGACGCCGCGUGGGGAUGACGGCCUCGG
rnacentral:rRNA from 1 species